GCACGCGCUCGCCGAAGCAGCCUCGUUUGUCACCGCGCCACGACUCGCACACGAGCAGUGAGGAGCGCAGCCACCAGAGUCGCAGUUGCAAAACGUUCACGCGAACAAGUCCCUUCAUGCUGCCUCUGCAUCUUCGUCCCGAGUCUCCGGUGACUACAAAGGCCGGUCGCAACAACUGGUAGCAGCGGUGGGAUAUGACGGAUCGACGGAAAGCGACAUGGACCGGAGGUCAGCCGAAAGGCCUGGAACCAGGAAUUCGGCGGGAUCGACGCAGCGUACCAUGACCGCACGGUAUGGGGAAUGGAAAGCGAGAGACUUACCUUG